rnacentral:rRNA from 1 species
UACAGAGGUGCUCAAGCGUUGUUCGGAUUCAUUGGGCGUAAAGGGUGCGUAGGUGGCGCCGUAAGUCGGGUGUGAAAUUUCGGAGCUUAACUCCGAAACUGCAUUCGAUACUGCGGUGCUUGAGGACUGGGAGAGGAGACUGGAAUUUAUGGUGUAGCAGUGAAAUGCGUAGAGAUCAUAAGGAAGACCAGUGGCGAAGGCGGGUCUCUGGACAGUUCCUGACACUGGAGGCA